CUCCAGACUCCUACGGGAGGCAGCAGUGGGGAAUAUUGCACAAUGGGGGGAACCCUGAUGCAGCGACGCCGCGUGAAGGAUGAAGUAUUUCGGUACGUAAACUUCUAUCAGCAGGGAAGAAAAUGACGGUACCUGACUAAGAAGCCCCGGCUAACUACGUGCCAGCAGCCGCGGUAAUACGUAGGGGGCAAGCGUUAUCCGGAUUUACUGGGCGUAAAGGGAGCGUAGGCGGCCUGCCAAGUCUGAUGUGAAAUACCGGGGCUCAACCCCGGGGCUGCAUUGGAAACUGGCAGGCUGGAGUGCCGGAGAGGCAGGCGGAAUUCCUAGUGUAGCGGUGAAAUGCGUAGAUAUUAGGAGGAACACCAGUGGCGAAGGCGGCCUGCUGGACGGUGACUGACGCUGAGGCUCGAAAGCGUGGGGAGCAAACAGGAUUAGAUACCCUGGUAUA
rnacentral:rRNA from 1 species